rnacentral:tRNA from 1 species
GCCCGAGUGGCGGAAUUGGCAGACGCGGAGGUCUCAAAAACCUUUGUCGAAAGACGUGUGGGUUCGAGUCCCACCUCGGGCACCA